AGUCGUAACAAGGUUUCCGUAGGUGAACCUGCGGAAGGAUCAUUACUAAAUCCAAAUCUUAUAACAACAACAUGUUGAAACGUCUUUUAUUUUUGCGAGCGAGCGGCCCGUCGUCCUGUCCACAUUGUGUGAACAUGGACGACAACCGGGAUCUCCAAAAAUAAAAAAUCUAACACACCAUGAGAUGACCCAAUGACAGUUAUUUUAUUUAUUACAUACAUAAAAAGCAUAACUUUUAACAAUGGAUCUCUUGGCUCUUGCAUCGAUGAAGAACGC
rnacentral:misc_RNA from 1 species